rnacentral:rRNA from 1 species
AUUGAACGCUGGCGGCAGGCCUAACACAUGCAAGUCGAGCGGAUGAAGGGAGCUUGCUCCUGGAUUCAGCGGCGGACGGGUGAGUAAUGCCUAGGAAUCUGCCUUGUAGUGGGGGAUAACGUCCGUAAACGGGCGCUAAUACCGCAUACGUCCUGAGGACGGAAGUGGGGGAUCUUCGGACCUCACGCUAUCAGAUGAGCCUAGGUCGGAUUAGCUAGUUGGUGGGGUAAAUGCCUACCAAGGCGACGAUCCGUAGCUGGUCUGAGAGGAUGAUCAGUCACACUGGAACUGAGACACGGUCAAGACUCCUACGGGAGGCAGCAGUGGGGAAUAUUGGACAAUGGGCGAAAGCAUGAUCCAGCCAUGCCGCGUGUGUGAAGAAGGUCUUCGGAUUGUAAAGAACUUUAAGUUGGGAGGAAGGGCAGUAAGUUAAUACCUUGCUGUUUUGACGUUACCAACAGAAUAAGCACCGGCUAACUUCGUG